UGGUGGCUGACUAAAUACUUAUUUUCCCCACUGUAGGUUAGCUAGAUCAGUGUUCCAGGUGGUUUUGAUGAAGACAUUUAGGUUAGCUAGUUCAGUGUUUGAGCUGGUUUUGAUCAUUUAAGCUAACUAGUUCAGUGUUUCAGCUGGUUUUGAUCAAAACAUUUAGGAUAGCUAGGUCAGUGUUUCAGCUGGUUUGAUCAUUUAGGCUAACUAGUUCAGUGUUUCAGCUGGUUUUGAUCAAGACAUUUAGGUUAGCUAGUUCAGUGUUUCAGCUGGUUUGAUCAUUUAGGCUAACUAGUUCAGUGUUUCAGCUGGUUUUGGUCAAGACAUUUAGGUUAGCUCGAUCAGUGUUUCAGGUGGUUUUGAUCAAGACAUUUAGGUUAGCUAGUUCAGUGUUCCAGGUGGUUUUGGUCAUUUAGGCUAACUAGUUCAGUGUUUCAGCUGGUUAUGAUCAAGACAUUUAGGUUAGCUAGAUCAGUGUUCCAGGUGGUUUUGAUUAAGACAUUUAGGUUAGCUAGUUCAGUGUUUCAGGUGGUUUUGAUCAUUUAGGCUAACUAGUUCAGUGUUUCAGGUGGUUUUGAUCAAGACAUUUAGGUUAGCUAGUUCAGUGUUUCAGGUGGUUUUGAUCAAGACAUUUAGGCUAGCUAGUUCAGUGUUUCAGGUGGUUUUGAUCAUUUAGGCUAACUAGUUCAGUGUUUCAGGGGGUUUUGAUCAAGACAUCUAGGUUAGCUAGUUCAGUGUUUCAGGUUGUUUUGAUCAUUUAGGCUAACUAGUUCUGUGUUUCAGGUGGUUUUGAUCAAGACAUUUAGGAUAGCUAGUUCAGUGUUUCAAGUGGUGUUGAUCAUUUAGACUAGCUAGUUCAGCGUUUCAGGUGGUUUUGAUCAAUACAUUUAGGUUGCUAGUUCAGUGUUUCAGCUGAUUUUGAUAAUUUAGGCUAACUAGUUUAGUGUUUCAGGUGGUUUUGAUCAUUUAGGCUAACUAGUUCAGUGUUUCAGGUAGUUUUGAUCAUUUCGGCUAGCUAGUUCAGUGUUUCAGCUGGUUUUUAUAAUUUAGGCUAACUAGUUCAGUGAUUCAGAUGGUUUUGAUCAACACAUUUAGGAUAGCUAGUUCAGUGUUCCAGGUGGUUUUAAUGAAGACAUUUAGGAUAGCUUGUUCAGUGUUUCAGAUGGUUUUGAUCAAGACAUUUAGGUUAGCUAGUUCAGUGUUUCAGGUGGUUUUGAUCAAGACCUUUAGGCUAGCUAGUUCAGUGUUUCAGGUGGUUUUGAUCAUUUAGGCUAACUAGUUCAGUGUUUCAGGUGGUUUUGAUCAUUUAGGCUAACUAGUUCAGUGUUUCAGGUGGUUUUGAUCAAGACAUUUAGGUUAGCUAGUUCAGUGUUUCAGGUGGUUUUGAUCAAGACAUUUAGGCUAGCUAGUUCAGUGUUUCAGGUGGUUUUGAUCAUUUAGGCUAACUAGUUCAGUGUUUCAGGUGGUUUUGAUCAAGACAUUUAGGUUAGCUAGUUCAGGGUUUCAGGUGGUUUUGAUCAAGACAUUUAGGCUAGCUAGUUCAGUGUUUCAGGUGGUUUUGAUCAAGACAUUUAGGUUAGCUAGUUCAGUGUUUCAGGUGGUUUUGAUCAAGACAUUUAGGCUAGCUAGUUCAGUGUUUCAGGUGGUGUUGAUCAUUUAGGCUAACUAGUUCAGUGUUUCAGGUGGUUUUGAUUAUUUAGGCUAACUAGUUUAGUGUUUCAGGUGGUUUUGAUCAUUUAGGCUAACUAGUUCAGUGUAUCAGCUGGUUUUGAUUAUUUAGGCUAACUAGUUUAGUGUUUCAGGUGGUUUUGAUCAUUUAGGCUAACUAGUUCAGUGUUUCAGGUAGUUUUGAUCAUUUAGGCUAGCUAGUUCAGUGUUUCAGCUGGUUUUUAUAAUUUAGGUUAGCCAGUUCAGUGUUUCAGCUGGUUUUGAUCAAGCCAUUAUUCAUCAACUUCUCAUCAAACAUUCAACUUCUCUCUAUGUAUGGUGUUCUUCCAAAACAUUGCAUUUCUGCGAGCUACAGCACUGCCAACCUGAUACUAACAGAAAUCUGCUCCAAUCUUCCCUCUGUUUCCAAGUAAGGUAAUGUUUACAUUUACAUUUACAUCAUUUAGCAGACACUCUUAUCCAGAGUGACUUACAAAUUGGUGCAUUCCAUGCUAGAUGUCCAGAUUGUUAAUCAGUGUUGGGGUAAUGUUUACCAUACUAGAUGUCCAGAUUGUUAAUCAGUGUUGGGGUAAUGUUUACCAUACUAGAUGUCCAGAUUGUUAAUCAGUGUUGGGGUAAUGUUUACCAUACUAGAUGUCCAGAUUGUUAAUCAGUGUUGGGGUAAUGUUUACCAUACUAGAUGUCCAGAUUGUUAAUCAGUGUUGGGGUAAUGUUUACCAUACUAGAUGUCCAGAUUGUUAAUCAGUGUUGGGGUAAUAAGAAGAAGACCAGGUGCAUACUGCUAAAUACUGCACCAUGGAAAUACAACAGCACAGCAUUUGAGCUAUAGAAGUGUUAAAAAAGGUCGAAGUUCACUUUGAAAGCAGAAAAUGCAUAGAUGUUUUGGUGCUUUCAAGAUGGACAUUUGAAAUUUCAACUGGACUUUUUGCCACUUAAGAUGACUGACAGCUUGAAUAGGAGCUUCCAUGGAUGCUCUCUUUCUGUCUAUCCGUCUAGACAUAUUGAACCUUUCAAUAGCUUCUCCAUUUCCUUUCAUGGUGUGUAGGCCUACACGAAGACUGACUGACUGCAUGCUCGCAUCAGACCUUAUUCAAUAGGAUGUGCUGUCCUUCGAGGGAGAAAGGACAGCACAAACUGAUACUCAGUAGAUAAGCAGAGAACGUCUCCCAAAUGACACCCUAUUUCAUAAAUAGUGCACUACUUUGAGCCCUAUGGGCCUCUGG